rnacentral:rRNA from 1 species
AAAUUGAAGAGUUUGAUCAUGGCUCAGAUUGAACGCUGGCGGCAGGCCUAACACAUGCAAGUCGAACGGUAACAGGAAACAGCUUGCUGUUUCGCUGACGAGUGGCGGACGGGUGAGUAAUGUCUGGGAAACUGCCUGAUGGAGGGGGAUAACUACUGGAAACGGUAGCUAAUACCGCAUAACGUCGCAAGACCAAAGAGGGGGACCUUCGGGCCUCUUGCCAUCGGAUGUGCCCAGAUGGGAUUAGCUAGUAGGUGGGGUAAAGGCUCACCUAGGCGACGAUCCCUAGCUGGUCUGAGAGGAUGACCAGCCACACUGGAACUGAGACACGGUCCAGACUCCUACGGGAGGCAGCAGUGGGGAAUAUUGCACAAUGGGCGCAAGCCUGAUGCAGCCAUGCCGCGUGUAUGAAGAAGGCCUUCGGGUUGUAAAGUACUUUCAGCGGGGAGGAAGGGAGUAAAGUUAAUACCUUUGCUCAUUGACGUUACCCGCAGAAGAAGCACCGGCUAACUCCGUGCCAGCAGCCGCGGUAAUACGGAGGGUGCAAGCGUUAAUCGGAAUUACUGGGCGUAAAGCGCACGCAGGCGGUUUGUUAAGUCAGAUGUGAAAUCCCCGGGCUCAACCUGGGAACUGCAUCUGAUACUGGCAAGCUUGAGUCUCGUAGAGGGGGGUAGAAUUCCAGGUGUAGCGGUGAAAUGCGUAGAGAUCUGGAGGAAUACCGGUGGCGAAGGCGGCCCCCUGGACGAAGACUGACGCUCAGGUGCGAAAGCGUGGGGAGCAAACAGGAUUAGAUACCCUGGUAGUCCACGCCGUAAACGAUGUCGACUUGGAGGUUGUGCCCUUGAGGCGUGGCUUCCGGAGCUAACGCGUUAAGUCGACCGCCUGGGGAGUACGGCCGCAAGGUUAAAACUCAAAUGAAUUGACGGGGGCCCGCACAAGCGGUGGAGCAUGUGGUUUAAUUCGAUGCAACGCGAAGAACCUUACCUGGUCUUGACAUCCACGGAAGUUUUCAGAGAUGAGAAUGUGCCUUCGGGAACCGUGAGACAGGUGCUGCAUGGCUGUCGUCAGCUCGUGUUGUGAAAUGUUGGGUUAAGUCCCGCAACGAGCGCAACCCUU